UGAAAAAUAAGAAAACAUAACCUUAUUGGAAAUUAUGAUACACUAUUUUUUUAAUUAAUUUAUUAAAGUUAAUUUGUUAACUGCAUAUUUAGUAUGACAGUUCUGUCAAGUUUACUAUGACACCUUUCAAAAAAAAUUGCAUCAAUUCAUCUCCUUGUCGCUAGGAGGCGCCAAAUAUGUAAAACAGUACUACCAGACUUAUUUACCUCCAGGUUAAUUCAAAACUUAAAAGUCUUAAAUUACUGUAAGACAAAUAUAUAAAUGCCUUUUUUGGCUGUUAUAGUUGUGUUAAAAUUAAUUUUUGGACGAUUCUGUUUUUUUAAACGCGACACGGAAAGACUCUUCCUCCUUCCUGAGCAUCCGGAUGGUGUUUAUUUACCAAGAGUAGCAAGAGAUACUGGAAAAGGCUUAAAUGCUCUUCCAAUUGGCAAAUACUUUGAGGCUAACUCUUCUCCUUUAAGGAGGUGUCUGGUUACCUCAGGUAAGCUACAGCUCAGUCUGCUUUGUUUUGGUUCGGCAUGUGGGUGACACACUUAUGUGGGUGUCACACCCUGCUUUAGGGUGCGUAGGUGUUAAGUCGAGAAACGUGAUUAUGCUGGGAUGACCUCUGGCAGCAGAGGUGGUGUGAGACAAAUAUUGUGGCGCAUGCUAUUUUGCCUGAGCUUUUACCAGUUGUAAAUAUUUACUUGCUCGAUUUUAUGUUUCCAUUUCAUUUGAUAUGUUUUCCGUAGGGGUGUGAGGAUUUUCCACCAUAGCAUCCAAAUACAAUUAUAUAAUCAAGUGUUGUGGCCUUACAGUAUCUCUGUACAGUGACUGAAAGAUCCAGACCCAAGGAUUUGACCUUCUGAGCAGACCUGGAUGACAUCCAUGUAAUUGUACCAAAUGCCAUCUGCCCUGUUUGUUCUUGUCCCAGACUCCCAAAGUCCUUGGCUCUUGGUACAUAUCCAGCCCACACCAGUAUGUUAUUUGAAUCAAAUUGCGGUAGAGUCACAGAGAAACAGAUCUGUUUCAUAAGAUAUAUGCAUUUGUAUCUAGCUGUUAUUAGGGAAUGAAAAUCAUCAUCACGGAUGUUGCACUAUGGAUGAGGUGUUGGAAGCGAGACCUUUUUUGAUUCACCUUAAAAUGACACGGUAAGAAACUGUUACGUCUACUAUGCAACAUUACUGUGUAAUUCUACUGUUUACUAUACAGUCAUCAGGACUAAAGUAUUGUCUUAUACAACCGUGGCUGAGCUGUAAAUAGGCUCCUCGUAACGUGUGCAGCAUUGAAAGGGUUGCGUUCAGGCACGAGAAUGAAUACUCGCCUAAUGUUUUCAGCAAUCAGAAAGUCAUGCUCCCAAAAUAAAAGAAAACGCUGUGCAAACAUGCUGCUUGUCAAGAGCUCAUUAAAGCAGAGAGGGGUUUAUAAUGCAGCAGAGACAUAGUAAAUCACUCUAUCCCCUGAAGCCCUGUUAGAAAGCCAGCCUUUUUUAGCCGUGUUUGCCCUCUUAUGAGUUAAUGUGCCACACCUCUAACCCACUGCUGUCAGACCUGCUGCCACAUUACCUCUGAAAGCAGCUAUUGGAACAGAAGACACAUUCAGCUCUCUUACAGAUGAACAAUCUGCUAACAUAUAAAAUAUUAUGCACACAGAUUUAUAUUGUGGCAUGAAUUUUGAUGGCAUUAUGUGUUGACACGUUUGAUCGCCUGUCCUCAUCUGAUCAGAAUCAAAAAGGAUAAACAAGCACGGAGAAUGACUGCUUUUUUGUUCAAAUUAAAUGCUGCUCUAGGUGCCCCACGAGGCCCCGCUGUCUGUUUUUGCAAGAGGUAAAUGCCCCCCAUUCAGCAGCCCAGUUAAUGUUAAUAGACGUUAUUUAAACAACUGUUAAACAGCGGAUUAAGUUGGAUUUGGCUCAAGCAGGCUUGAGGGAGCGGUGUUUUCCCUCUGUGUAUGCUUACACACACACACAUACGUGCAGGGUGACACACUAUGCAGGUAGACAGGAGCUUAGGGUGUCAAAAAUCAGGAUGUGCUACAUUAGGUCACCCAAACAAGUAUUGAUAAAGCCCAGGGUUUUAGUUUCCACGUGGACCGUUGGAUCCAGGGAAAGGUGCCACGCGACAUGCUUAGUGUGUUCUGCUGCGUCAUCCAUAUCUGCAUCCUGUUUAUUAAACUGUUUGGCUUGAGAGAUAAGGGACAGUCGAUUAAUGAGGACAUUCCCCUCGUGAAACCUGUAAAGCGCAUAUUGUUCUCAGACAGUUUUCUAUUUAUUGUAAUCCAUUUUUGAGUCAAUUUGUGAGAAUGUAAUAUUUUUUUUCUUUUUCUUUUUUUCCCUAAUUUUCUGAUUUUCAGAAUUCUGAAAUAUUACAGAAUAUUUAGUUUUUCCCUAAAGAAAAAAAAAUCAUAAGAAAUAAUUGUAUUAGAUUGGAUACAAAUAUCCAAACAAUCUUAGAGAAGCAAUUGUUACUGCCGUCAGUCUGCGAAGAGUACCACGGCCAUUUCCAAACAAUAUUAAAGGGAUAGUUCACCCAAAAAUCAAAAUUAUGUCAUUAAUAACUCACUCUCAUGUCGUUCCAAACCCAUGAUACGUCCGUUUAUCUUUGGAACACAGUUUAAGAUAUUUUAGAUUUAGUCCGAGAGCUCUCAGUCCCUCCAUUGAAGCUGUGUGUACGGUCUACUGUCCAUGUCCAGAAAGGUAAGAGAAACAUCAUCAAAGUAGUCCAUGUGACAUCAGAGGGUCCGUUAGAUUUUUUUUGAACCAUAGAAAAUACAUUUUGGUCUAAAAAUAGCAAAAACUACGACUUUAUUCAGCAUUGUCUUUUCUUCCGUGUCUGUUGUGAGAGAGAGAUCAAAACAAAGCAGUUUGUGAUAUCCGGUUCACGAACGAAUCAUUCGUAUCAUGUAACCCGAUCUUUUUGAACCAGUUCACCAAAUCGAACUGAAUCGUUUUAAAUGGUUCGCAUCUCUAAUACGCAUUAAUCCACAAAUGACUUAAGCUGUUAACUUUUUUAAUGUGACUGACGCUCCCUCUGAGUUCAAACAAACCAAUAUCCCGGAGUAAUUCAUUUACUCAAACAGUACACUGACUGAACUGCUGUGAAGAAAGAACUGAAGAUGAACACCGAGCCGAGCCAGAUAACGAACAAAAGAUUGACUCGUUCUCAAAUCAGAACGAUGUGAGACGCAUUAAAUGACAGAAAUUGAUUACUUCAAGUUAUUGCAGCUAAAAGUGGAUGUGCAGGCUAUUACACAUGGCUUUUAAAUUUUUACACACCAAACAAAGUAGCUUUGCAAACAAAAAUAAUGACCUUUUUCAACAAUUUCUUUUCUUUUGUGUCAGUCUUCGACACACGUUCAGGAGAGAACCACGACGCACAAGUAACUCGUGAACACUUGGGGAAGACUGACACGGAAGAGAAUACAUUUUUGAAUAAAGUAGUUAUUUUUUUGUUUUCUUUGUCUUCAUUUAAACAGUAUAUUUAUUAUUUUAUCAUAUGACAACUAGCGACUUUUUUGUGUGUCUAACUAAGUGUACGAAGUGAUUUUGGGGAUCACUGUAUACUGGCAGGAUUAAAGGCGAACGAUCAGCACACUGACACAUUCACCUUAUCCCACCUUAAGUGAUGGGGUGAAUGUGUCAGUGUGUCGAUCUGCAUCUAGAGAGCUGUGACAGGUUAUGUGCACAUUAUCUAAUCUGUCUGUGCAUCAUUCACUCUUCCAUCCCCUCACCGUUGUCUGACCCCAUGUACGUUUUUAGGCCAAUGGUUUAAAGGUUAUUGCUUUCCCUUUUAAAGCAAAACCAAACCGCAACAUUAAUUUCCCCUUAAUUCUGAUUUACUAAAAUAAUGACACCACUUGCUACCUCUAUGUAUUUAACUACAGUUAAUUUUUGCAAGCUUUUUUAUAUAACCUAGUAAUCACCUCGCUUGCACUUGCAGGCAGACAGUGCUCUCAUUCCCAGUCAGAAUGUUGUGACUGAGAGUGAGGUGGCGUAGACUUAUCUCUCUCUCUCUCUCUUUUGCCGACUGGAAAGUGGUUUAGGUGAGACUUUUUAAAGUUGCCUGUCUGGGCCACCUCAUCACAAGGCUCUCGGAAAUUCAGCCUCUCUUUCUAAGUAUACUGUGGCCUCAUUCUGAGUUCACCCCCCUCCGCCUUCCUCUCGUGGUUUCCUUUCCACUGUGUAAUUACAAGGCAGACGCCAGUCAAGGAAAUUCUGUGAUGUCAUCACACUCACUAUUGAUUAUGUAUGCAUUGCAUUUAUAUAUUGUACGCGCAUUCUGGGUGCUUUUUUUAUAUCGUGUGAACAUUCUCGGUACUUCAAGCCAAUCUACACACAGGCAAUGCUAAAUCUAUAAAUGUAUAUUGUUCUAUAAUAUUUGCUUGUGAAACCGCUAGCAUUUAUUUACUUAUUUGAUAAUUGGUGAGAUAUUUUUGUAACAACAGGUGUGCAUUAAUUGUUUCCGAAAUGGUUCUUGCAUAAUUAUUGUCACAUUACCUUUUAAUAGAAGGCCGAACGGAUGCUUGCUAAUUGAAUUAAAAUACCUGUUGUUUUGGGUUGUGUUUUGAAUGAACUGAAAUGGGGUGGUUAAGAGAAGUGAGUGGGGGCGGCGUGGACAGCUGGCCCGUCUGAUCCCCCGAGUCUGCUCUUAAAUUGGUUUUAGCAGCACUAAUAAAGCUGAUUAUCUCUCUGCUUCCAAGUCCCACUAACCCUGACACCCGGGCAGCUGGGGCCCUUGUACGCCAGCCCGGCCCCACCUCACCCGUCACAGUCUCUCUGCUUCCCUGCUUUUCUAUCUCUGCUCUUAUCAGUCUUAGCAGCUGCCAUUAAGCUUUCAUUGAUGCUUCUUGCAUCGUUUAAGGUGGCACAUGAAGCUUUAGUGUAUUUUAAUUAUGAGUGUCAAUCGAUAAAAUUUUGAUUUACGUAAAUGCAUGUUAUGAUAAUGAAUUAAUUUACAUAUAUAGAGGUAAAUGUAUUGUUUGUUUUAAUAUAACAGGACACAAGUAUAUCACUGGCCAACAUCAGCAAUUUUUUCAAUUGAGUUUGUUAUGUUUGAUGUAGCAGCAUGGUCUACUACAUAUAUUUUUGGCUCCAAUGACAAAUUGCUUGUGUUAUUCCUCGUUUGUAAGUUAAAAGCAUCUGCUAAAUGAAUAAAUGUGAAUGUAAAUGUGGACAUGAGGGCCUUUCGCAAAGAAGACAUUAUUGUGUUCUGCAUGUUUUGUUCCAUGUAAAUUUGGUUGAUUUUUGGCCUGACUGUAGCAUUUCAUUUAACCUGUUUGUGCUUAUACUAAUCCUAGAUUUGCUCAGUGACGCACCUGCUGUAGUAGUACUAUAUAUAUAUAUAUAUAUAUAUAUAUAUGUAUAUAUGUAUGUAUAAUAUAUGUAUAUAUAUGUAUGUAUAUAUAUAUAUAUAUAUAUAUAUGUAUGUAUGUAUGUAUGUAUGUAUGUGUAUAUAUAUAUAUAUAUAUAUAUAU
rnacentral:lncRNA from 1 species